CUCUAUAUGCAACUCUCCUCCCUCAUUUCCACUCUCCACAGUCACUCUCUUCUCUUACGCUUCAUUAGUUUCCGGUGUCAAGAUUCUCUUUUCGAAGAGUCUUUCCCUUCUUUAUUGUCGGAUUGCGAAAAGCUACCCCUUUUCUUCUGUUUCUAAACGGUGGACAUGAAUUUUACCGUACCUCGCUGGUGACCUUCUUUGAAAGGGUUUUUCUUUUUGUGCGGUGCAAAGACCGGUGGAUAUGGAUAUUACAGUUUCUCAAUCUGGUGACGUUGUGUAGAUGGAAGGGUUUUUCUCUUUGUUCCUCACUCUGGUGACCAUGUGCCGAUGGAAGGUAAAAAUUAAAGUCAUGCAAUGGUGAUGUUAUUGCUUCCAAUCCACCUUGAAGCAACUCUUUGAGGAAUUUGAAAGUGGUGAUGAUUCUUCAUUGCUAGGAUCUGUAACAGUGCACAUAAUGGAAGCUUGAAAACAAAUUUAGAAGGAAGAUCAAAGCGGUAUAAAGACCUUGCAUUGACAUAUCUUUUUCUCAUGAACAAUGUUCAUUAUAUUGUCAGAUUAGUUUGGAGGUCUGAAGACAAUGAUUUGCUAGGUAUGACUGGGUACAAUGACAUCGGAGGAUUGUUCAGCAGCAUUCAAAUCAAUACAAAAGAAAUACUUGGGCAAAAGUCUUGUUCUAGUGACCUUACUGAUUAUUACAUGUCUUGCAGCUUUCUUAUAUGUCACUUGGAUAAUGAUAACAUAUAUUUAGUCCCUCUAAAAUUAUCAAAAUUUGCUUUUAGUCUUGAUUUUUUUUUGUUCUAUUCCGGUCCCCAAAUUUAAAAAUUCAUCACUUUUAGUCCUCCAAGUACUUAGGUAGUGCUUAAAAAUUGUUUUAAGUUGCUAUUUAAGCUACUUUUGAGAUAAAAAAACUGCAUUUCCAAAUUUGUGGGACUAAAAUAGGACAAAAUUUUAGAAGUACUAAAACCGAACUAGAAAUGUUUUCGAAGGAACAGGAACAAAAACAUAUUUUACCUUUUUUUUAUAAUAAAGGUGUUCUAGUAGAUUGUUUUAAUAUUUCUUGAUGUUUGGUUUCAUGGGAAUGC